AAUUAUUAUCUUACUGUUUAUAAAAGUGUUAUUUUUAAUAGAAAUAUCUUGGAUUUUAGUAUAUUAAAGAAUUAAUUUUAUUUGUUUUAGUUGAUUAGUACUGUGAAGGAAGGAUGAAAUAAUGGAAUUAUUUAUUUUAUUUAAAGUAUAUUUAAUUUAUAGUACCUUUUGUAUCAGGGUUAAUUAAAAUUAAUAAAGUAUUUUUAUAUUCUCGAUUUUAAAAGAGCUAAUUUAUUAUUUUAGUUAAUGUAACAUAAUUAUUAAUAAUAUAAUUUAGGAGGGAUAACCUAAUCGUUUUUAAUGGUAUCUAGUUUUUUAAGAAAUAAAUUUAAUUUAGUUUUAAUAUUUAAAUUAAUUAUUUUUUAUUAAUUUAUUUAUUAGAUUAAAUAUUAUAGGGGAUAAGCUCUAUAAUUUUCUAUAAGUAUUUAUUUGAAUCAUUUUAUGUAGGAUUAAGAAUUUCCAUCAUUGUAGAUUAUAUUAUAAUUUAUAUUGAUGAAUAAUGGAUUUUUUUUACUUUAGUAUUAUUAUUAAAAUAAUUUGUGUAACAAGAAUUUUUUUGAAAUAAUGAUUAAAUUAGUAUAGUUUUAUGUAUAUAAUAUAUUUAUUGAUAUAAUAAAAUAAGGAACUCGGCAAAUAUUAUACUCGCCUGUUUAACAAAAACAUGUCCUCUUGAAGUGUAAAAUAGGAGGUUUGACCUGCCCAGUGAGUAGAUAUUUUAACGGCCGCGG
rnacentral:rRNA from 1 species